rnacentral:misc_RNA from 1 species
CAAAACUUCAUAAGGUGCUUGGAGCAAAUGGCCUUGGUUACCACUGCAGAAGUUUGUGAUGCUAAUCCACAGCUCAUUGUGAGUGGUGAACUUCGGGCCCUUGAACCAAUUUUCCAGAUAUAUGGUCGACGCCAAGUCUUUUCAGGACCAGUAGUCACACUGAAGGUAUUUGAAGACAAUGUUUUGAUUCGUGAGUUCCUCGAGGAGAAGGGUAACGGCAGAGUUCUUGUCGUGGACGG